UUGCUUUCCUUUUCGACUUCAUCAAUAAUGAAAAAAAUUCGCUCAGGGAGCUCCGCCGAUCUUGCAGCAGCAAUAUGACCGGAGCAGGAGAAGAUGACGGCGAAGUAGCUCCUCCUCCUCCCUCUCCUCUAGCCCAGCAACCCAUGGACGAUGCGGCGGCGGAGCACCGCCACGGCGUCGGCGAUGAGCCGUCCUUCCGGAUGGAGAACCUUCCUGGGUAACUGCCAUUCCGCCAGUCCCUCUUCACAGCAGGAGGUAAAAAAUAUUUGCUUAAGCAUUUCACUGUUACCCUAAGGAUCUAACCAGUGCGUGAAAAUUAGUCCUUGAUGUGAUUCCUAUGGUGAUCUCCACGGAUCUGAACCUCUGGGGCAAACAAAAGAAACUGGUGUUUUAUGGCUUUGGGGGCAGGGGCAGGGAGCUUAGAUUAUGGUCCAAUUCAUGUCUUUUACUUUUUCAGUGAGCCUCACUUUUAAGGUUUAUUGCUCAAGUUGUUUGCUACACCAACAGGGAGGGCACCUAUCGACUUGCUUGAGUUGUUGGAGAAAGGAAAAUCGUUAAAUUACUUGCUGCCGAAUGAGCCUCUACACCACACACUUCUUUGGAUAAAAGGCGCAACAGCCACCUAUUUUUGUUACUGAAAUCGUUUCGGCUUCGGUAAGACGGUAACACCACAUUUGGUUUCCAGCCUUCAAAUCAGACUGCACAAGCCGUGAACUGACAGCGCCAGACGCACCGCCAAAAAUCGACACUAAGAAAACCGGCAAACUAAAGGCUUCAUCAGGACACCGCAGACAUACAUACAUCCUGACGCGGUGACGCCCUCAGCCUGCUUCCGGUCUUCUGACCACCGGCCUACUGCAGCCGUGCUGGCUAGAGAAAUCUUCAGACGCCACCGGGGACAGCUUGCAGGGCCGCCCGCCGAAUGUGUUUCCUGUGUUCGUUCUUCAAGAAGCCAGCUCAUAGACUCAUAGUAGGAUCUAUUGGAAGAAUACCUCAAUAACAUGCUUCACUCCUCGUUUCCCAAAUAGCCCAAAUGAACAGGGUCAGGCACACAACCCCUACUGCUAAGUUGCAAAAUCCAAGAAGUACGUUAAUGAUAAAGUGAAAGUAGUAACAGAAUUGCACCGAAAUGAACAAUAGACUACACUCCACGUGUACUUGGCACCACUACAAAACACCCAUUUGAAACUACACUACAAAAUGUUGCAAAGAAGGCUACAAAACACCCAUUGAAACCACACUACAAAAAGUUGCAAUCUGCAUCUGGUCUGAUUUCUCUUGUACGCACUUUCAGGUCAUUGUGUGUUUUUAUUUCAGUAAUUAGUGGCUAUCGUUUGCCUACCAGUUAGUUUUAGUUAAAGUUCAGCCCGACUAAAAAUUCAGGCUCUUUCUUGUCGCGGGAGAUUCAGCCUGUUGAAGUUGGAAAAAUGCUCUGGACGUUCCACUGUAAUCUGUGUUUUUAUGGCCCCGGUGAUCUGGAUUAUCACACCGAUGAACAACCCAUUGAUGAUUUUCUCAAAGUAAAACGAGCUAAGUGCCUUGAGGCUGUAAAUUGGGUUAUUCAAUGGCAUAGUGUGGUAGGUAUUGAUAAGUUAUGCAUCAGGUGUGGCUUGCACAAAGAGGACUUUGAUCGUCUUGACAGGUGGAUUGGCUUUGCCGCUUCAUCAAAAACAAAGCAAUGAUCAUAGUUUUUGACCCGAAGAAACUUAUUCGCCAUUUGAAGAAGUUCAUGUCCAUCACUUUCGUCUUGAAGCCUCGGGUGUUCAAGGCAGAUCCUGUGUGUAUUUCUUGUUUCUCGCUGCUGUUUCUAUAAAGCUACACUCAGAAUGAAUGUUGAGAUGGUUGAGUUUCAUGCUGCUGAUCUUUGCGCAUUUUGAGUGGGAAGGACAAGAGAUCCCUAUAGUACUUCAUGGGUGCUCCAAAUUAGAGAAGGCUACGAUAAUGUUCAGAGGCAGCAAAGGACUGGCCCCUGUAUUCACUUUAGUUCCGAGCAUUUUGCCAGUGAAGUUGCAAAAUCUGACAACAAGACCACAUGGCACGUUUAUGCAUUUGAGGCACAUGACCUGUCAAUUAACUGUCUUCUCUAGGCAGCCAAACGCCGACAACAGAAUUCUUCAACUUGCCCGCUGCUUGGAUAUUUGCCCCGACUGGAGACGUUGUAUUUGGAUAUGGUAUAUCUGAACCUCGAGGGCGGUGGGAGCGAUGAUGUUCGUAUACAUGGGUCUCCCACAUGCGUCACCAUGAUCAUCUCAAGACGGUCUGCAUUGCUCAGGUCGCGGCUGGUAUGUUUCCCAUCCAGGAUCAUGGCAUCUAGCGUGCUGCGCCGGAGGUCAGCAGAUGGGCACAGCUUACCCUGGGGCGCUUCGGUAAGGUGCCGCUGGAGCUACUUCCUAACUGAUGAAAGAACUUGAGUGGUGAAAGCUCAAACAAAGUUUGGCAUCCACCGAUCGCUGGUGGUGGUGUCAUAUAUUCAUAUGUACUCCCUCCGUUCCUAAAUAUUUGUCUUUCUAGAGAUUUCAACAAGUGACUACAUACGGAGCAAAAUGAGUGAAUCUACACUCUAGAAUAUGUCUAUAUACAUCCGUAUAUGUAGUCCAUUUGAAAUCUUUAAAAAGACAAUUAUUUAGGAACGGAGGGAGUAAUACUGAUGAUGCUGGGUGCUGUACUUGAGAGUUUCUUGUGCAAAGAGAUAAUGAUGUCAGUGUGAUGAUUAAACUCGCUGUGUUUUAUUUUUCUGGGGCAACGAUAACACUCAACACACAUCUUAAGUCUCUGAGAUAUAGAAGGAACCUGGCUCUACUGACUGUUCUUGCUGUAUCAUGAACCACUUGUCUGGCUCUACGGAAUGUCCUUGCUGUAUCAUGAAGUGAAUCACUGAUAACUUUCAGCUAUAUGAUUACCAAAUAG